rnacentral:misc_RNA from 1 species
GAUGAAGAACGCAGCGAAAUGCGAUAAGUAGUGUGAAUUGCAGAAUUCAGUGAAUCAUCGAAUCUUUGAACGCACAUUGCGCCCCUUGGUAUUCCAUGGGGCAUGCCUGUUCGAGCGUCAUUUGUACCUUCAAGCUUUGCUUGGUGUUGGGUGUUUGUCUCGCCUUUGCGUGUAGACUCGCCUUAAAAUAAUUGGCAGCCGGCGUAUUGAUUUCGGAGCGCAGUACAUCUCGCGCUUUGCACUCAUAACGACAGCGUCCAAAAGUAAAUUUUACACUCUUGACCUCGGAUCAGGUAGGGAUACCCGCUGAACUUAAGCAUAUCAAUAAGCGGAGGA